rnacentral:rRNA from 1 species
AACGAACGCUGGCGGCAUGCCUAACACAUGCAAGUCGAACGAGACCGCCGUGCUUAGUGGCGCACGGGUGCGUACCGCGUGGGAACUAGCCCGUAGGUUCGGAAUCACUCCCUGUAAGGGGACCUAAGACCGGUUAAUGUCUUCCGACCAAAGAUCUAUGGCCUUAGGAUGGGCCCGGGUUGGAUUAGCCGGUUGGUAGGGUAAAAGCCUACCAUGGCGUGGAUCCAUAGCUGGUGGGUGAGCAGGACAAGCCACGCUGGGACUGAGACACGGCCCAGAAUCGUACGGAAGGGAGCAGAGGGGAAUAUUGGACGAUGAGGGAAGGCGUGAUCCAGCAGUGCCGGGUAAGUGAUGAAGGGCUUAGGGUUGUAAAGCUCUUUUACCCGGGAUGAUAAUGACGGUACCGGGUGAAUAAGCUCCGGCUAACUACGUG